CCUACGGGUGGCAGCAGUGAGGAAUAUUGGGCAAUGGGGGCAACCCUGACCCAGCCAUGCCGCGUGAGUGAAGAAGGUCUUCGGAUUGUAAAGCUCUUUCGGACGUGACGAUGAUGACGGUAGCGUCUAAAGAAGCACCGGCAAACUUCGUGCCAGCAGCCGCGGUAAUACGAAGGGUGCGAGCGUUGUUCGGAAUUACUGGGUGUAAAGGGAGCGCAGGCGGGAAGCCAAGUCAGCUGUGAAAACUACGGGCUUAACUUGUAGACUGCAGUUGAAACUGGUUUUCUUGAGUGAAGUAGAGGUUGGCGGAAUUCCGAGUGUAGCGGUGAAAUGCGUAGAUAUAAGGAAGAAGACCAGUGGCGAAGGCGGAUGACUGGACGGCAACUGACGGUGAGGCGCGAAAGCGUGGGGAGCAAACAGGAUUAGAUACCCGGGUAGUC
rnacentral:rRNA from 1 species